CAGAGGUGUGCUCUUCUGAUCUAUCCCUCUCAACCCCAUUCUCCUGCCUUCGCCCCAUAACCCCGACACCCUUACCAAUCAAGAAUCUGUCAUUCUCCUCCUUGCGAAUAUCCAUUGACUUGGCCUCGACAGCGGACUUUACUCCCACAUUGUGUGAAUUGAGUUGUAAAAUUAUUUAUUUUUGUUGUCUGGCUGCAGAAACCAAAGUUCUUAACAGAAAAAUAAAGUUCAU